AUGGACUUCUGCAUUCAAAAAACAAAACAAACACAUAAAAUAUUAGCGAAAGUCUCUCAUCUAAUGAGAAGCACAUAGAGCUGAUAAACAUAAAAAUCGAAACUUUAUUUAUCUUUGUUGUUCUCUUUGGGUCACAAUAGACCGGCCCAUUAGCCUAGUCACACCGGCCCAUUAGCCCAGUCAACUCCAUUGUAGAAGAGAGGACUUGAUUUUGGGUGAGAUUGAGAGAGAGAAGAAGAGAAUCGUCAAGUGUUUAUGGUGGUGAAAGUUAUAAGAAUCGUUAAAUUUGACGAAAGGUUUUACGCUUAUUUUUCGUGUGUGCAUUGCGUAUAAUGAUUUACCGUUGUUAGCACAUCAACAGCCAUUUGGAGAAGCAAACUGAAUUGCUUUUAGAAACUCGUAAAACGAUGACUCAAGAACUCCAAACACUUGAGGUGGAAGAAGAGAUGAUGAUGCGGAAAUUCUAUGAGUUAAUGUCUAGACAGCGCUUAAAUAAGAAGAAAAUGGAGAAGACUCAAAAUGUGUCACAUGGUAAAGAAAUAGUUGAAGUGGAAGAUACUUCUAGUACAUCCAGAGAGUUAAUCGUAUAUGUAAGGAAAAGGAAAAAGAAUCAAAAGCCAACAUAAUGAAGAUAUCCAUUUCUUGUUUAAGUGAUGGAUAUAGUUUUCACAUUGUUUAUGGUGUGCAAUAAUAAGUUGUAUUUUUUGAGUGAUGAAAAUUUAUACGGGUAUGUAGUCAUGAACCUUGUAAGAUGUUCUUGGGGUCAUAAGAGUUUUAUCUGAUCCUGCGAGACGAUAAUUUAAUAACAUUACAAGCAAAAUAUAUCCAUUGAAG
rnacentral:lncRNA from 1 species